CAGCACUUUGGGAGGCAGAGGUGGGUGGAUCAUGAGGUCAAGAGAUUGGAACCAUCCUGGUCAACAUGGUGAAACCCCGUCUCUACUAAAAAUACAAAAAUCAGCUGGGCAUGGUGGCGCGCGCCUGUAGUCCCAGCUACUUGGGAGGCUGAGGCAGAAGAAUCGCUUGAACCAGGGAGGCAGAGGUUGCUGUGAGCUGAGAUUGUGCCAUUGCAUUCCAGCCUAGGCAACAAGAGUGAAACUCCAUCUCAAAAAAAAAAGAGAAAAAGAAAAAGACAUAAUGUAGUAUCAGGAUCAAGUAUGCGGUACUACUGUAAGAGACCUGAAUGGAGGCUUCUAAUUUGUAUCAAAGGAAAACAGAAGCUUUUCGUUUGCAUCAUUUAACUGAACUGUGAACGCUUGUGCCUCCCAUCUUUAUCAUCGGAGUUGACAGUGAAAAAAAUUUAUAUCAGAAGUUUGCAUCUCAAUUUUAUGGAGUAUAAAAGAUUUUUUUUGACAUUCAACGCAGUUUUUUUGGAAGAAAGAAUAUCUUAAAAUGGACAAUGGACUGUACAAUAAGUUACUUGAAAUCUUAUAUCUAUCUUCUGUGUAAACAUGUUUCAGAUGAAUUUCAAUUAGAUUUGAAAUACACAUUUUGUUCACCUAUUAAGUUAAUGAAAUAAAAUUUAAAACAAAAAGAGAAAUGUUUGCUAAUCAAACAGAAUGGAGUUCCUUCAGAUUUUAAUUAAAGCUAAUUAUGCACCGUUUUCAAAUUUCUUAGCCAUUCAGCACACUUGAGCACUUCCUCAGACUCCAUACUAGAUACUACAACAUAGAACGUGUAAGACAAAUGAUGUGUCUUCAAGGAGCUCCUGGUCCACUGAAGACAGUCUUUAAACAAAUAAAUGACAAUACAGUGAGUUUAAGAGCAAAAAGAAAGAAAGAAAAAAAAAGGGGCAGAAGUGCAUCAGCCAAAGGGAGAGGCUUCAAAGGUUACUGUAGAAGUGGCAAUACUGAGUUUCAAGGAAUGAAGGGCGGUUAGAGAGGUGGCCAUUUGGUGUGGGAGGGGAAGAAGCUGAGAGAAGAACAUUCCAGACAGUAACAAACAUGUGCAAAAGCACUGAAGAAAAAAAUACAUUAUGUUUCAGGGGCAUUUCUGAGGGACACAGACUAGGAAGCACUGAAGAUUGGUCUCUGUCCAGAGUGCAAGGCCGAACCAGAGGACACACAUGAUCAUUUCUAUUUUAGAAACACGCCUGGGGCAGAGAGGACAGCAGGUGAAAGAGACUGAGAGAGAACAGUCAGAGGCUAGUACUGGCCAAGACAGGAGAGUGAGGGAGCAACCGUAAUGAGGAUGGAUGAAUAAUUUGAGAGAGAUUUAGGGGUAACGAACCAGACUCACUCAGAUGUGGGCCGGUCACAGAGAAGGAGAGCUGACAAUAACCCCUGAGUUAGGGGUAACUGGGCCAAGAGCGCCUAGUGUGGGCACAGUAGGAGAGGGAACCUCCAAAUGACCUUAACUUUGGAUUAGGAGAGCCUGUAGUUCCUCUGGGAUAUGAAGGUAGAAGGAUGAAAACACCCCUGUAGCAAUUACAUAUUCCAAUCAGGCACACAAGAAACAGUCAACUAAAUAAAAUGGCAUUUUUGUCCCGGUGCUGUGGCUCACGUCUGUUAUGUAGCACUUUGGGAGGCCGAGGCUGGUGGAUCACGUGAGGACAGGAGUUCAAGACCAGCCUGGCCAACAUGGUGAAAUGCCAUCUCUACUAAAACUACAAAAAUUAGCCAGGUGUGGUGGCACACGCUUGUAAUCCCAGCUACUUGGGAGGCUGAGGCAUGAGAAUGGCUUGAACUGGGGAGACGGAGGUUGCAGCGAGCUGAGAUCUGCCAUUGCACUCCAGCCUGGGCGACAGUGCGAGACUCUGUCCCUUUGCCCACCCAAAAUAAAUAAAAUGGUGGCCAGGUGGUGGUUCACACCUGUAAUCCCAGCACUUUGGGAGGCCAAGGCGGGUGGAUCGCCUGAGGUUAGGAGUUUGAGACCAGCCUGGUCAACAUGAUGAAACCCUGUCUCUACUAAAAAUACAAAAAUUAUCCAGGCGUGGUGGCGGGUGCCUGUAAUCCCAGCUACUCUGGAGGCUGUGGCAGGAGAAUCACUGGAACCCGGGAGGAGGAGGAUGUAGUGAGCUGAGACUGUGCCAUUGCACUCCAGCCUGGGUGAUAAGAAUGAAACUCCGUCUCAAAAAAUAAUAAUAAUAAAUAAAUAAAAUGGCAUUUUUAUUACAAAAGACUAUUUCAAAGAUAUCUUCCUUAUUAGAAGGAAAUGUUUGAACUUUCCUGACAUGUAUUAAUCUAAAAAAUUACCUUAAAAAAGAAGCCCACUAAGUCCAGAAAGUCAAAAUUACUUCUGGUGACUAUAAAUUCAAAAAUACUAUCCAUUUUACACUUAUGCUAGCUGGAUCCCAACAAAUUUUAAAGGUUUAUUCUGUCUAUGGGAAAAGUAAACUCAGAUCUGCCAACCUAAAUAAACAUCACCUUACCAUGAGGUUGAGGAAAUAUUUUGUCAUGUGUAGAAAAGUGAUUUAAAGAUAAGAAACCAAAGGACAGAGAUAAACAAUUAUGAAUCAUCUAUCGUGAUGAUUUAGAACCUUAGGGAACAAGUAUUAAGACAGGUCUCAGGCCAGGCACAGUGGCUCCUGCCUAUAAUCCCAGCACUCUGGGAGGCCAAGGCAGGCAGAUCACCUGAGGUCAGGAGUCUGAGACCAGCCUGGCCAACACUGGUGAAACCCCAUCUCUACUAAGAAAUACAAAAAUCAGCUGGCUGUGGUGGUGGGCACCUGUAAUCCCAGCUACUUGGGACGCUGAGGCAGAAGAAUCGCUUGAACUCGGGAGGUGGAAGUUGCAGUGAGCCAAGAUCGCACCAUUGCACUCCAGCCCGGGCAACAAGAGCGAAACUCCGUCAAAAAAAAAAAAAAAAAAAAAAAAAAAGCAGGUCUCAUUUAUCAUUUUCCCACAUAAUCCAGAAGACUGAAUGUUCAGCAAAAUCUCCAGGCUUACAGAUGAUUGUAAGUUCCUCUGAAUAGUAAAAUGUCAAAUUGAUGGCUAUAAACCACAAGAAAAUCUUACAAGCCCAGGUGGUGGGGUAGCAAGGUGGUAAGCUCUAUUGCGAGCAUAUAAAAGUAAUGUAUUCAGGAGAAAUGACUCAAAAUGUAAUUAUAAGCUAUCAGUUGCAAUGCUGGUAUGAAUCUCUGAUUCAUUCAGAAUCAGAGAAAGCCAUCAUAGAGUAAGAUGUCAGGAAAAACUUCAAAGAGGAGGCUACCAGUGAGCAAAUUCGUGGGGAUGUGUCAGGGGAUCUGGGGAAGGCUGGGAAAGAAGGUGCGUAUUUGUCUACUGCUGAAAAAAUUCUAAAAGUCCUCUAUUACAGAGGCAGCAUGACACUAUACAGGACUCUCCCUCCAAUCCACCUACCCUCAACCGAAGUACAAAAGGUGUUUUAUUUUCCACACUACCCAGGACAGAAGUGUCUGGGCAAGCAAGCAGUGCGGCUUAAAGAAGGGGAGUGAUGGAAGUUAUCUAAGAUUCCCACAGAUAGUAAUCUUCCUCAUACCUUACUCCACCCUCUAACUGG
rnacentral:lncRNA from 1 species